rnacentral:lncRNA from 1 species
GUAACCCUAGAAGGUUACGGUCUACAUCAUAUGUGAAGAUAUUGCACCCACUUUCUUGAUUGAAAAUGGGUGAUACUGGUCAUAAAGUUCAAGGGUAUUAUUGAAACAUUUGGGAGUUUAUCUGGUGUUUAGUAGAAGUUGAAGGGCUUGCGUGUAAAGUGAAAGUUGGCUUAAUAUAUAAGCUCUUCAAUAGUUGCAACAGUUCAUAGUUCCAGAUUUUUCUUCUCUCUCAUCAAGGCGAUUAGGGUUUCCUGUUCGUUGUUUUGAUCUUUUAUGAUCUGUGGUUUGUUUGUUUGAUCUCGUGUGAGAUCCUGUUGUAUUGUUC